UCCAUGGGGGCUCAAUGGUAAAGAAUCUGCCUGCAAUGCGGAAGACCCAGGUUCAAUACCUGGACUGGGAA
rnacentral:tRNA from 1 species